rnacentral:lncRNA from 1 species
UGAGAUCUCAAAUAGUCGUAUAUAUAAGAUAUAAUGGGGCUAAAAUUUUUAAUCCGGCUUAAGUAUUUUGGAUGGUGGCUAGGCUAAGGAGGUUAAAAGAGUUAAGCGUACUAGUACGGGAGUAAUCCUAGGAUGAGUGACCCCUUGAGAAGUUGAGGCAUCACAGUUGGUAUCAGAGUCAAUUACCAGCCAGAAGUGUGAGAUGAGUCUCGGCCGAGCUAGAAUUAUAUAGCUGGUUGAGCGAGACUCUCAGACUAUUGACUAUUGUGGGUGCAGCGCAGAUUCCCAUAAGAUCGGUUUAGGCUAGCAAGAUGAGUCUCAUAUUGUCUGAUACUUGUGAGUCUGAGUCUGAUGAGGACGUCAGGGCUUAAAGGGAGGAGAAUGUGAGAUUUCAAAUAGUUCUGUAUAUAAGAUGUAAUAGGGCUAAAACUCUUAACCCGACUUAAACAUUUUAGGUGGUGGAUAGGCCUAAGAGGUUAAGAGAGUUAAGAAUGUUAGGGCGGGAGUAGUCCUAGGAUGGGUGACCCCCGGGAAGUUGGGGCGUCAUAGAAAUUGGUUAGGAUAAACUCUGAUAAAGUCUGAUACCGGGUUCAAUAAGAAUAAAAUAUACAAACGCGGCGUCUGUGGGUUUCGAUUUGUGACUCAGUUCAACUCGGCCUCUGGUGUAGCUCACAGACUCUAAUUGUUACUCGGCUCAACCCCGCCUCCAUCGCAGGGUAGGAUGCUGAUCCCUUCAAGCCAACAGAAGAGAAGAAAAUAGAAUUUCUUUUGUACUUUAAAGUUAUGUAAAUUAUGUGCAAAAUAUGCGAUCAAAAUGACUAUUCAAUUAAUAA